rnacentral:rRNA from 1 species
AGUGAACGCUGGCGGUAGGCCUAACACAUGCAAGUCGAACGGCAGCACAGUAAGAGCUUGCUCUUACGGGUGGCGAGUGGCGGACGGGUGAGGAAUACAUCGGAAUCUACUUUUUCGUGGGGGAUAACGUAGGGAAACUUACGCUAAUACCGCAUACGACCUACGGGUGAAAGCAGGGGAUCUUCGGACCUUGCGCGAUUGAAUGAGCCGAUGUCGGAUUAGCUAGUUGGCGGGGUAAAGGCCCACCAAGGCGACGAUCCGUAGCUGGUCUGAGAGGAUGAUCAGCCACACGGGAAUUGAGACCCGUUCCAGACUCCUACGGGAGGCAGCAGUGGGGAAUAUUGGACAAGGGGGGCAACCCUGAUCCAGCCAUACCGGGUGGGUGAAGAAGGCCUUCGGGUUGUAAAGCCCUUUUGUGGGGAAAAAAAAGCAGCAGGUUAAACCCCCGCUGUUCUGACGGUACCCAAAAAAUAAGCCCCGGCUAACUUCGU